AUUGAACGCUGGCGGCAGGCCUAACACAUGCAAGUCGAACGAGUGGCGGACGGGUGAGUAAUGUCUGGGAAACUGCCCGAUGGAGGGGGAUAACUACUGGAAACGGUAGCUAAUACCGCAUACCAUCGGAUGUGCCCAGUUGGGAGUAGCUAGGAGGUGGGGUAACGGCUCACCUAGGCGAAGAUCCCUAGCUGGUCGGAGAGGAUGACCAGGCACACUGGAACUGAGACACGGUCCAGACUCCUACGGUAGGCAGCAGUGGGGAAUAUUGCACAAUGGGCGCAAGCCUGAUGCAGCCAUGCCGCGUGUAUGAAGAAGGCCUUCGGGUUGUAAAGUACUUUCAGCUGGGAGGCGUUACCCGCAGAAGAAGCACCGGCUAACUCCGUGCCAGCAGCCGCGGUAAUUC
rnacentral:rRNA from 1 species